rnacentral:rRNA from 1 species
UAACGCGUGGGUAACCUGCCUCAUACAGGGGGAUAGCAGCUGGAAACGGCUGAUAAAACCGCAUAAGCGCACAGCAUCGCAUGGUGCAGUGUGAAAAACUCCGGUGGUAUGAGAUGGACCCGCGUCUGAUUAGCUGGUUGGUGAGGUAACGGCCCACCAAGGCGACGAUCAGUAGCCGGCCUGAGAGGGUGACCGGCCACAUUGGGACUGAGACACGGCCCAA